AAAAAACGUUCACGCUUUCUUUUUUUCUUAAUAGCCUCUUUUUUUGGCAUAAUUUCACUUGACAUGCCUAAACUAUAGCACCUAUCCUACUGUCGUCCUCGAAUUCAAUUCGUGCCUUCAAAAUUCCUAAACUUCUAUUUGUAUAACAAUAAAAUAAAUUUUAACUAUUUCUCAGCCAGGCUACGACGAUGGUGAACGUGGAUAUCUGGCUCAGCUUUAUCGGCAUGUGAACAGUAAUGAGGGAGGGGGCUAGAGGGGGCCACCGUCCCCUUGGCUCCUAUAAAAUUUUUUUAUGCACUUAUUAGUUAUCAUCUACUUGUUAGUUUGGUGGUGUGUCAUCACACACACAUAUAUAUUACUUUUUAUUACGAUCGACG
rnacentral:lncRNA from 1 species